GACAGGGGAUACAAGCAUUACUCGGAAUCACUGGGCGUAAAGCGUCUGUAGGCUUAUUUGACAGUCCGAGGUCAAAUGUCGGGGCUCAACCCCGUCAACGUCUUGGAUACUACAAAUAUUGAGCAAUGGAGAGGCACCUGGAAUGCCAUGUGUAGGAGUAAAAUCCGUAAAUAUAUGGUAGAACGCCGAAAGUGAAGACAGGGUGCUAGCCAUUCGCUGACGCUGAGAGACGAAAGCGUGGGGAGCAAAGCGG
rnacentral:rRNA from 1 species